rnacentral:rRNA from 1 species
UGCCCGCAAGGAAAUGUAGUGAGAGGUGCUGCAUGGCUGUCGUCAGCUCGUGUUGUGAAAUGUUGGGUUAAGUCUCGCAACGAGCGCAACCCCUAUCGUCUGUUGCCAGCAUUAAGUUGGGCACUCUGACGAGACUGCCUGGGUUAACCAAGAGGAAGGUGGGGAUGACGUCAAGUCCUCAUGGCCCUUAUGUCUAGGGCUACACACGUAAUACAAUGGCGCGUACAAAGGGAAGCGAACCUGCAAAGGGGAGCAAAUCUCAAAAAGCGCGUCUCAGUUCGGAUUGGAGUCUGCAACUCGACUCCAUGAAGUUGGAAUCGCUAGUAAUCGGAGAUCAGCACGCUCC